rnacentral:rRNA from 1 species
UGAACGCUGGCGGCGUGCCUAAUACAUGCAAGUCGAGCGAACAGACGAGGAGCUUGCUCCUCUGACGUAGCGGCGGACGGGUGAGUAACACGUGGAUAACCUACCUAUAAGACUGGGAUAACUUCGGGAAACCGGAGCUAAUACCGGAUAAUAUAUUGAACCGCAUGGUUCAAUAGUGAAAGAAGGGUUUGCUGUCACUUAUAGAUGGAUCCGCGCCGCAUUAGCUAGUUGGUAAGGUAACGGCUUACCAAGGCAACGAUGCGUAGCCGACCUGAGAGGGUGAUCGGCCACACUGGAACUGAGACACGGUCCAGACUCCUACGGGAGGCAGCAGUAGGGAAUCUUCCGCAAUGGGCGAAAGCUUGACGGAGCAACGCCGCGUGAGUGAUGAAGGUCUUCGGAUCGUAAAACUCUGUUAUUAGGGAAGAACAAAUGUGUAAGUAACUAUGCACGUCUUGACGGUACCUAAUCAGAAAGCCACGGCUAACUACGUG